UACGUAGGUGGCAAGCGUUGUCCGGAUUUACUGGGCGUAAAGAGCGCGCCGGCGGUCGUAUAAGUCGAAUGUGAAAGCCCCCGGCUCAACUGGGGAGGGUCAUUCGAUACUGUUCGACUCGAAGGCAGGAGAGGGAAGUGGAAUUCCUGGUGUAGCGGUGAAAUGCGUAGAUAUCAGGAGGAACACCGGUGGCGAAGGCGGCUCUCUGGACCACAACUGACGCUGAGGAGCGAAAGCGUGGGGAGCGAACAGG
rnacentral:rRNA from 1 species